UAAAGCUACGGGGACAUUAUUUUCAGAAAAAAAGUAGAGUAUUGGGCCAUAGAGUUAAUGGGCCGAAUCCUCUUCUCCUCGGCCCAAAACAGGAUCUCUCCGCCUCCGUGGUGGUGGCCGGUGGGAGGGGGCAGCUCGAGCUCCCAGUCCUCCUCAGGGCGGCCUCGGCGAGCAGAGCCAUUCCGCCGCCGGCGCCUGGGAAGUGGGAACCCUAAACCCCCAUUCCCGCAAUCCACUCCACUCCCUCCUCAUCCGUAUCCCGCGGUCUCGUCUUGUUGCGGCGGAGUGCCGGCCCGACGCAGCAGGCAUACGGCGGGGGCAAGAAGCCCGAGCGGCGGCAGCGGCGGCGGCGAGCAGAGUAACCGGAAAAAAGCAGAGAUUAGUUGAGGGAUUGGGAAAUGAAGAAGAAGGCGAGAGCGGAUUUGAAGUCUAUGUGGGAAAGGGCCGGGAAGGCGCAGAGGACCGCUCCGACCUCGGCGCCGACACCCCCAUCGAUUUUGCUUCGGUGCCUGAGGUUUAUACUGCAGCAAGGGCUGGCUUUUCAGGGGCAUGUGGAAAUCGAAGACUCGCUGAACCAAGGAAAUUUUCCUGAGCUCUUGAGAUGGCUGGCAGAGAAUUUGGAAGGAGCAGACAAGGAGGUUCUGCAGAAUGCUCUGAACGAUCCUCAAAUGACUUCUCCAGAAUCCCUGAAAGGUCUUGUUAGUGCUUGUGCCAGAGAAACUACCAGGCGUAUUGAGCGAGACCUUGGUGAUGAAAACUUCGCAAUACUUGCUUGCCUGUUUAGUGAUGCUUGCCAUAGGAGCAGCUGGCUGUUUGCUUGCGGUAUGUUGAUAAGAAAGGAAGGGUGGUUGAGAGGUUUGUUGGCAUUGUGAGUGUCAAGAACCCAGACGCUUCGACAAUUCAAGCUGCGAUUGAGUCCUUACUCAGGGAUCACUCCUUGAGCUGGUCUGGGGUCCGCAGGCAGGGGUAUGAUGGAGUAGGCAACAUGAGGGCUCACGUGAAGGGUGUAAAGAAACUAAUAACAGAUGAGUCUCCUUCUGCUCACUAUGUUCAUUGCUUUGACCAGGAACUGCACUUGGCACUUGUUACUGUUCUUAAGGAUAGCAAUGCUUGUGCUGAUUUCUUUGAGCAACUUGGAUUUUUGGUGAGUGUUCUUGAAAUUUCUUGCAGAAAGGCUCAAAUGCUUCAAAUAGUUGAAGCUCAACAGGUUCUAGAAGGUUUAAAUAAAGAGAACGCCUUUACAUCUUGUGAUCCUCGUUUGGGAUUUCACUAUAAAACUAUUGUACAGAUUUGCGUACUGUAUCCCACCAUCCGAAGUGUUCUUAUCAUGGUUAGAGAAGACAAGACUCAAGGUGUCGAGGCUGUAAAUGCAUGAACAAUAUUGAUAUAUUUUGAGUCAUUUGAGUUUGUUUUCAUGACACACUUGUUGAUGAAAGUGCUUGGAUGCACCUUUACCUUAAGCAGAUCUUUGCAAAGGAGAGAUCGGUUUAUAGUUAAUGGCAUUCAUCUCAUUGGCGUGACAAAGGAAUGUUUGGACGAAGUGCGGGGUGAUCAUGGAUGGGAAACAUUACUUAACGAUGUCACUAGUUUUUGUGCGAAGCAUGACAUCAAAGUCCCUAGUAUGGAUGAUAUUUAUGAGCCAGUUCUAAGAUCGAAAGGGUUCUUCAGAAAAGUCAAGAAUCUCCACCAUUACCGUGUUGAAAUUUUCACAAGUGUCAUUGAUAGGCACUUCAAGAGUUGAAUGACAGAUUUGAUGAGGUAAACACAGAUUUUCUUUUCGGCGUGGCAUCACUUGAUCCAGCUAAUUCAUUUUAUCCCUGUGACAAGGAUAAGCUACUUAAACUUGCUCGAUUUUAUCCCAAAGACUUCUCAAGGAAAGAUUUGUUGAAUCUUCCCAUCCAUAUCACACGCUUUAUUGCUGAUAUGCAUGAGGAUGAAAGGUUUAGAGAAGUGAAAAGUUUUGUUGAGCUGUCAGUUAUGCUUGUCGAAACAAAGAAGAGCCUCAAACAUCCUAUUGUUUACAAGCUUCUUAAAUUGGUGCUAGUUCUUCCCAUAGCAACUGCUAGUGUUGAGAGGGUAUUUUCUGCAAUGGAUCUUGUUAUGAAUAAGCUAAGAAAUAGAGUGGGGGAGCAAUUACUCUAUGAUUGCCUGGUUACAUUUGUUGAGAGGGAGGUUUUCGUGCAAGUCAAGGAUGAGGCCUUGCCGCCUUGGUAUCAUUUCCAAGCCAUUGUAGGAGCAUAAAGUCACAAGAAGCGUCUGGAUGUUAAGCUGAAGCUAAUGGCUGAGUAAUUCAGUAUGGACUGAAGUGCAAGAGGGAGGGAGCUGUUGUGGAUUUUAGCCAAAUCCAUAAAGCAAGGGAUCUGCUGCUUACUGUUGAUGAGAAGAACCCUUGCCAUAUCUUCAAGAGUGAAGUUCUGCUUUUCUGCAUGAAGUUGUGAUGGAUUCCUUGCUGACAAGCAGAGCAUGCUAGAGUACAUCAUUGCUCUCCUGCAGAGUGCUUCCUGGCAAGGGUUGACAGGUGAAUUGUCAACAUCCCCUUGUUUAUGGUGAGGGUCGAGUCUGAGAGGCACAUUGACCUGUCAUUGACAGGCCCAUUCGGUGGUGGCGGUCCCCCAGGUAGGGUGAGGAACCAGAAGAACUGAAGAAGUCAAGUGGGCUGGUGCCUAUGCCAGUGGUAAGGACAGAGAGGAGACAUGCGAAAUAAAGGGAGCCUAGUAGUUUAACGAUAUGUAAUCGCCUUAAGAUGUUAAGGAUGUGAGUGGUAUGUGUAGCCCAGCCUGAGAUUCACAAAGCCUGUGUUGCAUUUCAGAAUUUUAGCAGGCUGUCCUGUAGAUAGUGGCUUUCUUUUAUUUCGCUGUGUAAGGUAGCUCAAGCUAUCAUGUGUUUGGAGACGUCUAAUGUCUGAACUUGGAAGUUGGAAUAUAGUUGCACUGUCCAAUUCUUUUUAGUACAACCCUAUUACAUUAUAUCGCGUUAAAAAAGGUGAAACUUCUUGAAAGAAUUAAAAAGAAGCAUUAUUUUUUCAACUUACUGUUACUAUAUCAGGUUCUGCCUGUUAUUUGCAUGGUCGCAUGAUUGGUAACAUGUCGAUGCUCUUCUCCACUUUUAUGGUGUGCUCUAAUGCUGAACUAACCAAGGGAACAUUCGAACAAUUAUUGAUGUUCUAUCCUGUACCAUUCUGCUGUAAAAAAACAAAAAACAAAAACAAAAGUUACCCUUCAAAUACGUUGAAGUAUCGUGAAGAUCACGAUCAGAUGUAGAGGUUGGAAUAAAAUGUCAUUCCAAGAGCACGAGCCAGGCCACCAUUUGCCAAGUUGGGGCAGCCGGUGGUGCCGAAGCAGGCGUCGUUUUCCAACAGGGGAAGUUCGGUGAGCCGGCUUGGUGUGAUUCUCAUGACAUGGACAGCCUCCUCUUCACAAUCAUCCAUUAACUCCUCUUCUUUUCCUCUUCCAUUUUUAUUGAACUGUACAAGACAAGCGAGAUUGUUCCUCUCACAAAACUCACGUCAACUUCAGCACUGCCUUUUUUUAAUCUUUUGGCACCAACUAACCGCAAUUGAGAAAU